rnacentral:rRNA from 1 species
UAAAGAUUCAUCGCUGAUAGAUAGGCAUGCGUUCCAUUAGGCAGUUGGCGGGGUAACGGCCCACCAAACCGACGAUGGAUAGGGGUUCUGAGAGGAAGGUCCCCCACAUUGGUACUGAGACACGGACCAAACUCCUACGGGAGGCAGCAGUGAGGAAUAUUGGUCAAUGGGCGUAAGCCUGAACCAGCCAAGUCGCGUGAGGGAUGAAGGUUCUAUGGAUCGUAAACCUCUUUUAUAAGGGAAUAAAGUGUGGGACGUGUCCUAUUUUGUAUGUACCUUAUGAAUAAGGAUCGGCUAACUCCGUGCCAGCAGCCGCGGUAAUACGGAGGAUCCGAGCGUUAUCCGGAUUUAUUGGGUUUAAAGGGUGCGUAGGCGGCCUUUUAAGUCAGCGGUGAAAGUCUGUGGCUCAACCAUAGAAUUGCCGUUGAAACUGGGGGGCUUGAGUAUGUUUGAGGCAGGCGGAAUGCGUGGUGUAGCGGUGAAAUGCUUAGAUAUCACGCAGAACCCCGAUUGCGAAGGCAGCCUGCCAAGCCAUGACUGACGCUGAUGCACGAAAGCGUGGGGACCAAACAGGAUUAGAUACCCUGGUAGUCCACGCAGUAAACGAUGAUCACUAGCUGUUUGCGAUACAGUGUAA